rnacentral:rRNA from 1 species
GCCUGCAUGAAGCCGGAAUCGCUAGUAAUCNCGGAUCAGAAUGCCGCGGUGAAUACGUUCCCGGGUCUUGUACACACCGCCCGUCACACCAUGGGAGUCGGGAAUGCCCGAAGUCAGUGGCCCAACCGGAAGGGGGAGCUGCCGAAGGCAGGCCCGGUGACUGGGGUGAAGUCGUAACAAGGUAAC